rnacentral:lncRNA from 1 species
UGAGCACGCGCAGUGCGUUUAGGAAGUUGUACGCAUACCCAACUGAAGCUUUCUUCCCUUCUCCAGUGGAGUGCACCUGCACAGAAACUCUCUCUGUACCACGUACCUGCUGCCAGAAGCUGGGAAGGAGUGGUGCUGGUGAUUCAAAACUGAUUUUCCUGCCUCUUCGAUGCCUCUUUUAGUGACAUACAGUUAAGACCAGGCACUGCUAGAUUAUCUCCUAACUUUAAAACUUUGGAUGAAUAAUUAUAAAGCAGCAAAUUGGUGUUGCAAAGAGAAGACAUGAAAAGCAGAGUUUAGUAGAUAUUUUCUAUGAUUCACUCUUGAGAGAGAUAACAGAAACUGAAGUGAAGUAUCCUUGAUCUUGGAACUCCAUUCCUCCCCUGCUGAGUGAGAGGAGUCUCAGACUGUGGAAAAUAAAUGGCUGACAGAACAAGAUCAUAGAGUUUUCCUAUAUUCUGUAAGUUACUGACAAAAAGCAGGUUGAGUUAAAACUAAGUCCAUGUAACCCAGCAUGUUGAGAAAGAUCUUUGAGAAAGAGUCCUCAGAUUGUUCUUCAGCUUUGAGAGACUGAAUGGAUCAGACAAGGAUAACCAAAACCUAGACCUUGUUGCUUUAGAGGAGUCAGGAAUCAGCAAAAUAAUUUUGAAACAUAAUAAACAUACUUU